UUGGCCUACGGGACGCAGCAGUGGGGAAUAUUGCACAAUGGGGGGAACCCUGAUGCAGCGACGCCGCGUGAGUGAAGAAGUAUUUCGGUAUGUAAAGCUCUGUCAGCAGGGAAGAAGAAAGACGGUACCUGACCAAGAAGCCCCGGCUAACUACGUGCCAGCAGCCGCGGUAAUACGUAGGGGGCAAGCGUUAUCCGGAUUUACUGGGUGUAAAGGGAGCGUAGGCGGUAAUGCAAGUCAGAAGUGAAAGCCCGGGGCUCAACUCCGGGACUGCUUUUGAAACUGUGUUACUAGAUUGCAGGAGG
rnacentral:rRNA from 1 species